UCUCUUUUUCUUAUAAAUAUUUUUCUUAUCAAUCUAAAAUUCACAAAAACUCACUCUGUGUACAGUUUGUUUUCUUCUUAUACAUUCUGUUUGUCUGCUUCAUCUAAUCAUCUUUUGUAAAACUUUACUUUCAGGUACAGUUCAUGUAGCUCUCCAACUUUCUAAAACCUAUUUUAUCAGAACCAACGGUGGAUGAUUUCAACAUAGUUUGGUCACUUCUCCAUUAAACAUCAAGAAAUAAACCACAACUCAAGAAAAGCGGCAACUUCUAAAGUUCAACGAACUAUAGCAUCUUUUAGUGUCUUUUGUAAUAUAGUUAACCUUCUUUGAAAAAACAAAACCACUUUAUGUGUAUAAAGCCACUUUCUGUGUAUAAAGCCAAGUAAUAAGAAUUAUGUAUAUAUGGUUC